rnacentral:rRNA from 1 species
UACGUAGGGUGCGAGCGUUGUCCGGAAUUACUGGGCGUAAAGAGCUCGUAGGUGGUUUGUCGCGUUGUUCGUGAAAACCUGAGGCUUAACCUUGGGCGUGCGGGCGAUACGGGCAGACUGGAGUACUGCAGGGGAGACUGGAAUUCCUGGUGUAGCGGUGGAAUGCGCAGAUAUCAGGAGGAACACCGGUGGCGAAGACGGGUCUCUGGGCAGUAACUGACGCUGAGGAGCGAAAGCGUGGGGAGCGAACAGG